rnacentral:misc_RNA from 1 species
GAUGAAGAACGCAGCGAAAUGCGAUAAGUAAUGUGAAUUGCAGAAUUCAGUGAAUCAUCGAAUCUUUGAACGCAAAUUGCGCCCCUUGGUAUUCCGGGGGGCAUGCCUGUUCGAGCGUCAUUUCAACCCUCAAGCUCUGCUUGGUAUUGGGCACCGUCCUUUGCGGGCGCGCCUCAAAGACCUCGGCGGUGGCGUCUUGCCUCAAGCGUAGUAGAAUACACCUCGCUUCGGAGCGUAAGGCGUCGCCCGCCGGACGAACCUUCUGAACUUUUCUCAAGGUUGACCUCGGAUCAGGUAGGGAUACCCGCUGAACUUAAGCAUAUCAAUAAGCGGAGGA